rnacentral:lncRNA from 1 species
AAUUUUAUCUUAUCGCGACAAAAGUGUAAGCAAGGUUCACUUUAUUUUGUACCAAUUUAAUUAUUUAUUCUUCCAGUACAUUGCAUUAUUUUUAUAUGUACUUUUUAAUUGGUGGUCUAAGUCAACUCGUGUAGACUUGCUUAAGAUAUUGCACACUCGACGUAUAUAAUGCGACUCCGACACAUUUCUUUAUUAAUGCUAAGUAUCAUUUCAGAAUUAGCUAUAACAAAUAUCAUAUUAAACUCGUAAUGGAGCAUAAUCAUUAGCUUAUGAACCGUCAAAGGAGUGGUUCUAGUUACUUAAGGCUGUUUGCUUUAAUUAAGAUUAUCUUCUAAUCUGAUGGUUUGUCCUCCACCUCAAGAGUAAUUAUUAUGCCCUUUCGUUCGAUAAGCCGCUUCUUUAAACCCCAAUUUUCUUUAUAAUUAGAAAAGAAGUUUUUGGUCUAUUC